GGGUAGAACGUCUGAGGGAAGGAAAGAGAGACAGGUGUGGAGCGGAAGAGCAGAAGAAAGCUACAAAGUUUACUGCACCUGCAGCUGCUCCUGUUGACACCUGCUCGUUGCCGGGGAAGCGUGUGACGUUGUACGCCGCCAAAGAUCGUCGGUGCAAACGAGAUGGCCAACUCCGACUCCUGCAAGGGAACUCUCCCUCCUGAGCAACGGAGCCCUUAUUGGCCACUGAAGGGGUCGUCCGACGUUGGUUGUCCUCGUGGCGAGACCUGGAGGUGGGAGGAGGUGGAGGAGGAGGAUGAGGGGGGUGGAUGACCCGGGACAGCGGCUGGUCUCUCCUGAUGUCCUCCUGGCCUUUCAUGAUCAUCACAGUCCCAGGCUGGUGGCGCAAGCACAGAAAGGUGUAGUUAACAUGAAACGCUCCACUUUAACAUAAUCACUGAGAGCAAUUAGUUGCAAAAGAAUCAGCAUUUCAGACGUUCAUGAAAAACAUGCAGCCUGGCACGUUCAUCAACAAAAACUUAUGUACUUAGCGGGCCUUACUGGUGAAAUGCAAAGGCAAUAACAAAAGCCAAAUGUUUUUUUUGUUGAGUCAUUGUUUGCGCUACACAGUUACACAAUCACUGAGAGUUUGACAAAAGCCAAAUUGUUACCACAAAGUGUCCAGCAGGGGGAAGCAGAUCCAACAAAUGUCCGCCAGGAAAAGUAGGACAGUUCAAAAGGACAAAAUGCUGGGGGUCUGGUUUCCGACUGGAGUCAUUCCAGUCAUUGUUUCACUUCCCAUGCAAUGGUCGAUGUCACACUCACGUUCUCAGAGGACUGCAGCGUGUGUGUCGCCCUGGUGGAGCUGACAUCCUGUUUCCUGUCAGCUGACCCUUCCCACUUCCUGCUGUCCUCCUCCCGCUGCGGCUCCAGUCGCUCGCUCAGCGGAGCCCAGACCAGAUCAGCGUUAUAAUGAUCCAGCUCGACAGAUGACCGCUGCCUCAGCUCUGGCACCUCCGCCUGGUACCGUGACCCAAUGUUUAUCCGCCUGGAAACAGGACAUCAAGUGUGAGCGACAAAGAUGGGAGACAAUUCAAAAAGUCAUCCCGUGCCUCUACGCUGGUAUGAGGCAUUUAUUCUCGCUUGAAUCUCUCAGCCGAUACAACAGUGCCUUUCAAGAAAAGUGCACUUGUUUUAUUUCCGAGAUCACAUUUUGAUUUCUUAGCUUUUCUUUCAGCCAUGAUCUUUAAAUAGCCACAGAGCAUCUGGCUCCACACGCAGCAGUUCUAGCAUGGUUUUCUAUUCAAGCUCAUUGCACAGCUCACACACACUGUUCCAAUUCCUGUCCAGAUAGAUUCUCAGUGCUACAGGUCAUGGAUACAACUAAACUCAAGAGUUAACUCCUCAAAUUGACUGGAUUGUAAGUAAACAAAUCCUCUUUGUGGGACAAAAGUCACAGAGUCCAGGCCCAUGCAUGAAAAAUCAAAGAUUCACCUCCUAAAGGGCUGAAACGACAUUUAAACAUUUAAUAAAUUGUUAAUCAAAUACUAAAUGAACUACUCUGAUAAUCAAUUUGAGUGUUUUUAAAUAAAUACAACUAGCUUUU